rnacentral:rRNA from 1 species
GACGAACGCUGGCGGCGUGCCUAAUACAUGCAAGUCGAACGCUUCCUACCGGUGCUUGCACCGGGAAAGAAGAGUGGCGGACGGGUGAGUAACACGUGGGUAACCUACCUACAAGCGGGGGAUAACAUUCGGAAACGGAUGCUAAUACCGCAUAGAUCUUUUUGUCUCCUGACAGAAAGAAGAAAGACGGUUUCGGCUGUCACUUGUAGAUGGACCCGCGGCGCAUUAGUUUGUUGGUGAGGUAAUGGCUCACCAAGACGAUGAUGCGUAGCCGACCUGAGAGGGUGAUCGGCCACACUGGGACUGAGACACGGCCCAGACUCCUACGGGAGGCAGCAGUAGGGAAUCUUCCGCAAUGGACGAAAGUCUGACGGAGCAACGCCGCGUGAGUGAAGAAGGUUUUCGGAUCGUAAAACUCUGUUGUUAGAGAAGAACAAGGAUGAGAGAAAUGCUCGUACCUUGACGGUACCUUACGAGAAAGCCACGGCUAACUACGUGCCAGCCGCCGCAGUAA